GUUCUGAGCAUGUAACUUGGAGGAGAAGAUGAAGGGCAGAUGAAGAGCCUCUGUUGCAGUGAACUCAGAGCAGGGACAUUGUCUUGAGAAAAGGAAAAACAGAGCAGUACAAAGAGAGUUUGAAGAGCCCUGUGGUCCCAAAGGGCUGCCUGCCCCUUCUUUUAGCAGCUUUCAAGGGUGUUUUCUUGAAUUGAUUAUAACCUGAUGGAGCUGCUGGAUACUCUCCUUGUGCCACUUUGCUACUGAAUUUUUAAGAUGCUGAGGGCCAGGAAACUCCUG
rnacentral:lncRNA from 1 species